CUUCCUUUUUUGGCGGUUUUACCUCGUAGUAACUUUCCAGAAAAACGAAAGGGUUAUGAUGAGAGAUUGUCAGUAAAUAUGAUAUUGUUUAUUUGACAAGAUUGGCUGUGAAGCAUUCUCAUUUAAAUCACUGAUUUAGCUGUGGUAUCGUUGUAUCCGAAUUCGAAUCCGAUAUAAAUACUCGUGACAAGCAUGGUUCGGUAGCAGCGAAUGCUAUGCUAUCUCGUCCAUAAACGUUGCAUAUACUAUUCAGAAAUCAGCAUCGUUUAAGACGGUUUGUAGGUAGGGUAAAGUUUGCAGCGAAGGCUUUGCCGAUUAUUUUACUGUGAGGUUAACAUUACCAAAGUACAUUGUUAAGUUGGAUGUUAAGGUGAGCUGGCAUGGUAAGAGGCAUGAAAUCGCGGCCACUCUGCUUCGUUGUGGUGACACACGCAUCGGAUUAAACUGCAUGUAAACGUACUAGUACGUCUAAACUAAUAACUAGUAUGUUUACAUGCAUGGCAUAUCAGAGAAUUCUGUCAUUUCGGUCGCGGGGCAACGAAUGAAUAAAGAUCGUUAGCACUCUGAAAAACAGAUGACAGAUGUGCCCGAAGUUACUACUUUAUUACCUCCUUGGGUGAAAUCGAAGCGUAGUGUGUACUGAAUGCGUGUUGAUGAUGAUGCAUAUGAAUUGCAACUUACACGUCUUCCAAACCUUUUCAGUACCCUGGCACAUGCUUUGUCCAAUGGACCAUGGAAGGGACUUUACUUGGCUGACGAGGACGCACCUCACCAGUAUCAGAGCAACAGCUGUGGGGUGUUUAUGCUGAUGUACGCAAUGUAUUCUACCCUCAAAAGCAAUAUGAUUUCAGUGAGGGGGACAUGCUCUCUAUCAGGAGGUGGUGGUGUGGACAGCUGUUGGAGACCUUUAUGCUUGAAAGCCCUGCAGAACUAGCUGGCUCCUUCUCACCCUCUCCAUCUCCCCAUCUCAGUCACACCUUCCAAUCACUAAGCAGUGAAAGCCCUGCAGGACUAGCUGGCACACCAAGCUCACCCUCUCCAUCUCCCCAUCUCAGUCACACGCUCCAAUCUGGCACAACAGAGGACAGGCCAUUCUUACCACCCGAAGUCCUUCAGCAAUUUGUACAAGAGACGCUGAGACUGGACAUGGCGAUGCUUGGCGUGUUCAACAGGGUUUCAAACACAUUCCGAGAACUAAUCAAGCCUCUCCAUCCUUCCAUAUAUAUAAAUGACAGUUUGGCAGGGGACAUUAAGCUUAAUAAAGACAAUCUCAUAUACAUAACGGUUAGAAAGAUUUACAACAAUGCAGGCUGUGGCAGUGGCCUUGCGCUACGCCUCAAAGGCUUCUCAAAAAAGAAUUGGCCAAGCGCACCUCUGGUACUGAGGCACGUUGCAUAUGGCAGGUUUGUCAUAAAAGAUGUCUGCCUAGCAUAAUGUUCUUCUAUUACUCCUUUUUCGUUUUAUUUGGGACGUCAUUUUUUGCAAUCCCUUUCAUUUGUAAAUGUACAUACUACUGUAGUAAAUGUAUCUGCCCAGAAAUGCUGGUAUUUUAUUACUCCUUUCUUUUUUGUUUUUGUGACAAAUGCUAUACGAUGUAUAUAACAUACAUUUGUGCCUACGAUGUAUGUUGUAAGGUUAAUUGUUACAGAGCAAUUACUGUAUUUUGUCUUUAUUGAAAACAUUCAGUGGGAAAAGUAAGUGAACACUUGGAGUCAAAUGGCCUACUGUUUGAGCCUUCAUAGUGUCUGGUGGUAACUGGAUUUGAACUGCAUAAUGUCCCAAGUGUUAUUUUAAUCUAUUCAUUAUUUAAUUUGGGCAUAUUCUUAAACAACUAUAUCAAACAUCUCACUUAUAUCUAAUACCCUACCUAUCC